UGCCAAUGACGAAUGAUAUAGUGAUUUUUGUAACAUAUGAAAAUUCGUGAUUACAAUACCACUACUGCCUUCCUUCUGAGGUA
rfam:Citrus sinensis cultivar Ridge Pineapple sweet orange scaffold00256_contig_12, whole genome shotgun sequence.